AGCGGUGAUAUAGUGGUUGAUGUCAUUUUUUCAUGCGAAAGAUACAACCCGAACUCGGCACCUAAACUUAGGGAUGGCAAUCGGAUCGAGUCGGAUCAGAUAUAGGUUGGGUUGGAUGUGGGUCAGAUCAAAAAUUGAUCAACCCAAAUCCGACCUAUUUAUUAAACGGUCAAAAUUUCAAAUAUGAAGUCGACCUAUUUUUUAAGCAGGCAACCCAACUCGACCAUAUA
rnacentral:lncRNA from 1 species